CCAGACUCCUACGGGAGGCAGCAGUGAGGAAUAUUGGUCAAUGGCCGCAGGGCUGAACCAGCCAAGUCGCGUGAAGGAUGACGGCCCUACGGGUUGUAAACUUCUUUUGUCAGGGAGCAAUUGGGUCCACGCGUGGGCUUAGCGAGAGUACCUGAAGAAAAAGCAUCGGCUAACUCCGUGCCAGCAGCCGCGGUAAUACGGAGGAUGCGAGCGUUAUCCGGAUUUAUUGGGUUUAAAGGGUGCGUAGGCGGUCCGUUAAGUCAGCGGUAAAAUUGCGGGGCUCAACCCCGUCGAGCCGUUGAAACUGGCAGUCUUGAGUGGGCGAGAAGUAUGCGGAAUGCGUGGUGUAGCGGUGAAAUGCAUAGAUAUCACGCAGAACUCCGAUUGCGAAGGCAGCAUACCGGCGCCCUACUGACGCUGAGGCACGAAAGCGUGGGUAUCGAACAGGAUUAGAUACCCUAGUAAC
rnacentral:rRNA from 1 species